rnacentral:lncRNA from 1 species
CUUUCUCUUCCUCCCAGCUGUGAGCCCCAACUAUUGUCAGAAAGACCACUGGGUUCCAGAAAGAACGUCAACCAAAUGCUUCCGAAGGGACCUACUCAGGGUGCCACUUGUCCCCAUCCGGCCAGGAGCAUUGCUGGGUCCUUUGUUAAGGGCAGACGGCAGCAGCUGAAAAGGAGCUUUACAUCUUGUGCCACAAGAAUCUCAUUCAAGCAGGAAGACAACGGAAGGUGAAGGCAAACUUUGAGCCCUCUCUGAAUUCUCCUUGGCGGUCUGAAGCAAAGCAGUCACGCUGAAGGCAACUAUUCUCCAGUCUUCACUAGGGGCCCAAUCCUGGGACGUGCUGAGGUCACUUAACAGCACUCGGGAACCUUCCAGGAUCAGCCCACAUAAUUCAUAUACCAGGCUAUUAUUAACACGUAGCAUUUAUACUGCACUGGUGCCUAGACGCCAGCCAGGCCUGGGGCCAUCUGUGCUGGGGACUCCAACAAACAGAGCUCGCGUCUUCCUAUAUGCAAACCACACAUGGCCAUGUGCUGAAAUCAGAGCACAGGGGAAAAGCUAAUGUUAGCAUGGUAUCAAAGCACCACGCCUGCUGUUAGAGACAUGGUCUGUGGUGCCCAUUUGUGAUAUGCUACAGGCAUAGAAGGGUCUGCGGGACUGUGAUGAACAGAGGAGAUAUGGGGAUUUUUUUCAUGCGUUGUCUCUCUGAUUGCAAUCGUGCCACCUGCCACAUGGCUGCAAAGGGUUAACUCAGUCCUCGGUGGCUUUGUUCUGCUGGACCUGGCGUCAGUGGCUAUAGACAGGCCAAGCCCCAGUGCAUAACACACAGUACAGGGGCCAAGACCUGUGAAGUGUGGUCUCCAUCCAAAUUGGCUUGUGGCUCAAAGAAAUGGGGCAGUGGGUGGAUGCAGACCAAAGGGCCUGGCUGGUUUUAAAGAGACACUCCCUGAAGCUCCCAGGGAAGCAGGGUCUGCAGAGGAAGAGCCUGUUAGCUGGCCCCAGAAGAGCAGGGCUACCAGGGCGAAGUCGGGGGCCUACCUAAUUCUGGAGAGAUUCCAAACGUAGAUAAGACAGUGUGUGUGGUGGGAGUGGGAGGGGGAGACCUUUUGCUACUUCAACCCCUUUGCCAUGGGUGGCAAGUUCAUAGAAAUUUUGGUGGUGCUCAGAACCUUCCCCCCUCCAAACUCCGCCCCCACCUGCCUAAGGCUCAGGGAGG